rnacentral:rRNA from 1 species
AGGACGAACGCUGGCGGCGCGCCUAACACAUGCAAGUCGAGCGAGAACCAGGGCUUGCCCUGGGGAAAGCGGCGAACGGGUGCGUAACACGUGAGCAACCUGCCCCAAAGACCGGGACAACCCGAGGAAACUCGGACUAAUACCGGAUGCCCUCACCGGGCCGCAUGGUCUGGUGAGGAAAUGGAUUCCGCUUUGGGAUGGGCUCGCGGUCUAUCAGCUUGUUGGUGGGGUAACGGCCUACCAAGGCGACGACGGAUAGCUGGUCUGAGAGGACGAUCAGCCACACUGGGACUGAGACACGGCCCCGACUCCUACGGGAGGCAGCAGCAAGGAAUUUUCCGCAAUGGGGGCAACCCUGACGGAGCAACGCCGCGUGACGGAUGACGCCUCUUGGGGUGUAAACGUCUUUUGCCGGGGAAGAGAACGGACGGUACCCGGCGAAUCAGGACCGGCUAACUACGUGCCAGCAGCCGC